rnacentral:rRNA from 1 species
CCUACGGUGGGCAGCAGUGAGGAAUAUUGGUCAAUGGCCGCAUGGCUGAACCAGCCAAGUCGCGUGAGGGAUGACGGUCCUAUGGAUUGUAAACCUCUUUUGUCAGGGAGCAAAGGGCGCCACGUGUGGCGUUUUGCGAGUACCUGAAGAAAAAGCAUCGGAAAACUCCGGGCCAGCAGCCGCGGUAAUACGGAGGAUGCGAGCGUUAUCCGGAUUUGUUGGGUUAAAAGGGUGCGCAGGCGGAAUGUCAAGUCAGCGGGAAAAUUUCGGGGCUAAACCCCGACGUGCCGUUGAAACUGGCGUGCUUGAGUGAGCGAGAAGGAGGUGGAAUGCGUGGUGUAGCGGUGAAAUGCAUAGAUAGCUGGCAGAACUCCGAUUGCGAAGGCAGCAUACCGGCGAUCGACUGACGCUCAUGCACGAAAGCGUGGGGAUCGAACAGGAUUAGAUACCCUUGUAGUC